AUUGAACGCUGGCGGCAGGCCUAACACAUGCAAGUCGAACGGUAACAGGAAGCAGCUUGCUGCUUUGCUGACGAGUGGCGGACGGGUGAGUAAUGUCUGGGAAACUGCCUGAUGGAGGGGGAUAACUACUGGAAACGGUAGCUAAUACCGCAUAACGUCGCAAGACCAAAGAGGGGGACCUUAGGGCCUCUUGCCAUCGGAUGUUCCCAGAUGGGAUUAGCUAGUAGGUGGGGUAACGGCUCACCUAGGCGACGAUCCCUAGCUGGUCUGAGAGGGUGACCGGCCACACUGGAACUGAGACACGGUCCAGACUCCUACGGGAGGCAGCAGUGGGGAAUAUUGCACAAUGGGCGAAAGCCUGAUGCAGCCAUGCCGCGUGUAUGAAGAAGGCCUUCGGGUUGUAAAGUACUUUCAGCGGGGAGGAAGGGAGUAAAGUUAAUACCUUUGCUCAUUGACGUUACCCGCAGAAGAAGCACCGGCUAACUCCGUG
rnacentral:rRNA from 1 species